rnacentral:lncRNA from 1 species
AUGGAAGUUCCCAGGCUAGGGGUUGAAUCGGAGCUGUAGCUGCCAGCUACAGCCACAGCUGCAGCAAUGCCUGAUCUGAGAUGAGUCUGCAACCUCCACCACAGCUGAUGGCAACACUGGAUCCCCAACCCACUGAGUGAGGCCAGGGAUUGAACUCACAUCCUCAUGGAUAACAGUUGGAUUCAUCUCCGUUGCCCCACAAUUCAUCUCCCUCCCCCCACAAUUCAUCUCCUUCCCGUAGUGAGCUUUUAUAAAGGUUCACAGUCAUUAUUCACCAUAGGAAAGAUAGAAAGGGGGAGGAAACCCAGUCUCGUGUGUGUGUCUGAGCGUAUGCCUCUGUGUGUAUGUGUGCAUGCAUGCAUUUGUGUGCACAAGUGAGUAUGGAAUUGGGUUCCUGGGAAAAGGGAGCCUGAAGAAAUGGAACAGAGGAAGAGGAGGGCAGCAAGCAUUCCAGGAAGGGCUAAGUGGGAUCCAGGUGUUCUCAAGAGAGAUUCUUUUUCUUUGUUGCUUUCAACACAAGAAGGAGUUAAAAAGCAACCAACUGCCUGUUGGGUUGCUGUUCUUGCCUGGGCAUCGCCAUCCAGAGUUGUGAGCUUUGCUUUCAGCAGAGCGAAGAGUUUUAGGGCUUGCUAUCUCCUGAGGCUGGUGCUGGAGGGGCAUGUGGGGUUGACUCUCAGUGCUUGCUGUUCUUUUUCUUUUUGUCUUUUUAGGGCCACACUCGGGGUAUAUGGCAGUUACCAGGCCAGGGGUCACAUCGGAGCUGCAGCUGCUGGCUUAUACCACAGCUCAUGGCAACACCCUAUCCUUAACCCACUGAGCAAGGGCAGGGAUCGAACCCAUAUCCUCAUGGAUACUAGUCAGGUUCUUUACCGCUAAGCCACGAUGGGAACUCCAAUGCUUGGUUUUCUGCAGUGACCUUGUUCUCCCAGAAGUCUUCUUUCACCAUGCCUGGGGGCCACUCACAGUCCAGGGAGCUGCUAGAAUGGACCAAGCAGGCUGAAGCUGCCUAUGACCUUGUGGUUUUGGGUUCCGGAAUUUUUUUGCUUUUUUAGGGCCACACCUGCAGCAUAUGGAGGUUCUAAUCGCAGCUCUUGCUAGGGGUCUAAUUGCAGCUCUUGCUGCUGGCCGACACCACAGCCAGAGCAAGGCCAGAUCCGAACCUCAUCUGUGACCUGCACCACAGCUCACAGCAAUGCCAGAUCCUUAACCCACUGAGCAAGGUCAGGGAUGGAACCCACAACCUCAUGGUUCCUAAUUGGAUUCGUUUCUGCUGUGCCACGAAGGGAACUCCCAGGUUCCAGAAUAUUUUAACCUUGCCAUUUUAUUCCAAGGACAUUAUGAAUAUGAGACUUUUAAUAGACUCCUAUCGAUAUUAAUUGUUUUUUGUUGAAAAGGUAAUUUUCUUAAGCAGUCCCAUUAGUUGAGUUUAAUUUCUUAAUUGAUAGUCUAGCUGGCACAGUAAAUACUUCUGGAUAUAUUUCUACUUUUAAUGCAGUUAUUUUCAUUUGGAUCAGAGUCACAGAGAAACACAGAAAAGAGGGAAAGGAAAGGGGGAUGAAAAAUGGAAGACAGAGUGGAAAGCAGAGAGAAGGAAGCAGAGAAAGAGAGAAAUAUCUACACAAGUGUGUUGACACAAAAACACAAACCCAGAGACAAAGAUGUGGACCUAAAGGAAUUGGGGGUUUUACAGAGGCAGUCGCACACAGAGAGAGACAGAGAAACACAGAAAGAAAACUCCCCCACACAGGCAAGAAGACAGAGCAACAUAGAACAAAUAUUCAGGUACACCCACACUCACACACUCGGACUCCACCCCCCACCCCCCCAACCAAGGAGACAGCAGCUGUUCUGGUGUGUUGACUGCCAAAUUUUUGGAUCUGGCAGGAUCAGAAUUCCCUUAGAAUCAAGCAGUGGGGUUGAAGUAUCUUCAUGCUCCAAAUGGCAGAAUUAAGAGCAGGUAUCUAAAUUUCUUCACAGUGUGGUUGAUGCAGAGAUGUUACUAAUUUUAAUAGAAUGUUCUUUUAACCCAGGUUUGGGCAGAAGAAACCCCUUUGCUGGCUGGAGGACCACGUUUAUGGGACCUCAUGGAUUUUUUUCCUUCCAGGGGUGUGAGCAUCUUGGUUUGAAGAGAUUCUUCCUCAUCCACUGACAUACUCCCUACUCUCAUCUGUUGAGCUUUUGAGAUUGAUAGCAAACAGACAAAAUAUAGGUGUUAUCUGCUUCUCUUUGGGAAGGUGGCAAACUUUGCAAGGACUGGUGGGAUGGGGGCUGGUGGGCAAUGAAAUUUGGUAGGAGAACAGACUGACAUAAAAUGUCUGUGACUGGAGGCACCAAAUACCGUGAGACUCAUUCUAAGCAGUGUUUUUUUAUGGCUGUUUCAAGAUCUCAGAAUCCUUAUGGUUUCUUAAAUCCCAAGGAAAUGGGCCCGAAGACACAGAGAAUGUAAACUAGAUCUUUGAAAUUCCCUUUGGUUAUCCUCUGGAAACUUAUUCCUGCAGAAGUGCCUUCUGAUUGACAAAAGCUCACUUGUAUAUUCAGUCUCACCCUCUCAAGGUCUAGUCUAAAAUCACCCUCAGAGGAUAUUGUGCAGUAACUUCUAAAAUGCCCCAAUCCUCUCGAUUUAUGCAUUUAAUCUGUUGUUUUUCUCUUUCAGAGCUUUCCUUUGUACAUAAGCAAAUUCUAAUUUUGAGUGCCUAUUGUACACCCCUCCGCCAUGAUGUUGGAAAGUGUCUUUAAAAUUAGAGCUGGAAAUUCCCUUAGUUUACUUUCAAGUCCCUUGUCCCUUGGAAAUUUAUGUAAAAUUUCCCAUCCCUCCCAUUCUUCUGCUUUAUGCUCCCUUCGGAAGCAGUUAAUUAAUUUCAUUUCUCAAAGAUGCUUUGUUUCCUUAAGUAGUUCAGUCUGGCUAGUCUUCCACUGGGUAUCACUUUUCGCUGGCACUUUUACACAGAUUCAUUCAGAAAUAGCUCAUGUGGGCCAGUUGUCUGGGUUUGAUGGGACAGUCACUUAGGACUAUAGUUGGGUCUAUAUGUGUCACCCAGUCGCUCAGCAAUCAUUCAUGAGUUCCUGAUAUCGACCACACACUGAGGCCAAAAAAAAGCCUGACCUUUGUGAAUCCCUGACCCCAGCCUAUCAAGGCCCAGUGACUGAGCUGGGUGAGGUCCUUCUAGGCACUUUGGGAGAUGUCAUACUGAAAGUAGAAGACGUGAAAGCUGGUGAGUGAGGCCUACCCAGUGCCUUUGACAGGGAGUUGGGAGGCCAGGAGAAUAAUGCAUCUGUCAAACUAACGGGACUAUAAAUGGGAGAUAGAACCAAGAGUCGGUAACCAGACAAACAGCAGGUUAGAGGGGGAUUAGGGUGAGUCGGUUCCAGGAUGAGCUGUUUUUGGGAUGUUGACAGCUUAGAUUUAUGGUCCUGAAGGUACACAGUUGUGUGUAUGUUUCUGGCUGGAUUAGAGGUACAGGAUCUGGAUGGGGUCUGUCCAUCAUCCACCAUCCCUCAGGCCUUCCGUGCAAUAUGGGAUGGAAGAAGGAUAUUUUGGGAUGUUGACACUGAAGGCCUGAUUACUUUAACUUCUCCUCUGGAUUAUCUCCUUCACAUGGUUCUAGCUGUUAGAGCUGGAAAAGGUGUCUGUGAUAAUCUUGUGUUUCUCUGGUUGCCUUCUCUGGCUUCCUGUCUUGGGCUGGAAGCCAAGGUGAGGAAGUGUGGGGAAAAGGCAGGUGCAGACAGGACAGGCUAGCAGGUGGUGAAGGUGCAGAGAUGGUAUAGCCUGGGGCAAGGGUCAGUGUGGUCACUUGCAUGACUUAAGAAGUACCUGUGAAAUGGGGGGAAGGGCAGAGAUGGGAAAGAAAGAGAUGUAGAGAUGGGUGGACUAACAGAAGCCGACAGAGGUCCAGUGUAGAAGUACCUAUUAUUGUUAUUAUUAGUGAAUGUACCUAUUAUUGUUUCAGAAUCACCUUGUGGCCUUAGGAGAGUGGUAGCUUCAUUGCAAAUCUAAAAAUGAUGAUUUUUCAAGGAGUUUUCAGGACCGAGAGUGAGGGAGCUUAUCCCUCAGAGGUGCUCUACUGGGGAGGAUAGUGUGGGAUUGCAUACUGUGCAUGGAUCUCGGGGACUUCUCUGCUUCUGCUCACGCUUCCCACCCUUUGCCAAUUCCAAGCCCUGGGGCAAAAGUCAUCAUGGCCAGUUGCAUGACUUAGAGUGAGUCCAGGCUUCCGUGUGGUGUAUGAAGCCAGGUGUUUGGAUAGAGCUGGGUCUUUGGUAGAAGAGAACCACUUAACACUCAGUCUAUUAAGGGGAUGCCCAGAAUGCCUCAAGCCACACCAGACGUUGGACAUAAGCAACCUCUGCUUUUCACACUAAAUUACCUUAAUUGAUUCCACCUGAGGCUGAACGGAGGCACCAAUUUCUGGGCACAGAAGUUUUUGGAGCUGGAUGUUUUACUGUUGCCUUGUAGAAAUCUGCUUAGUGGUUUGAAUGACUAGCAUUAACAAUAAUUCCAUCUCAUCUGAAGGUCCAGAAGUGAGAAAGUUGACAUUCUAACACAGGCCAACAUGGGACACAGAUGACAUGGUCGUAGAUGACAGAUGACGGAUGACAUGCUUUACCAGUAGAAUGUGGCAGAAAUGACAGUGCUAGGCCUGAGCUUUAUAAAGGCAAGGUUGUUUCCCUGUGUGCUUUGGGGAGUCCUGAGUUGCCUUGUAAUAGGAGAGGCAUAGCAGCUGGGAUUUAGACCUUUGUGGAUUCCAGCUGAGUCCAGUUUUCUGGUCAACCUUGCCAAUGUGCCAGACAGAUGAGCUUAAUGUUGAUAUCCCCUUUGAUAUCCCAGAUACCUACAGAUGUAGCCAGCAUCACAUGGAGCAGAAGAAUCACCCAUCCUAGCCCAAUUAGUGCACAGAACUUUUAGAGAUAAUAAAACAUUUGCUGUUUUAAGCCACUAAGAUUUGGGGCGGUGUGUUGUACAGCUGUAGCUAACCAAAACAAGAGAUACAUCCUUUAUAGUUUUAUUUAUUACAGAAGUUAGCAGAUUGUGACUCAUGGACCAAAUCUGGCCCCCUGCCUAUUUUUGUAAAUAAAUUUUUAUUAGAACAUAGCUCUAUUCGUCUAAGUAUUACCUAUGGUGGCUUUUGCAGAGUUGAGUAAUUGUAAAAAAGAACACAUAUAGGCUGCAAAGCCAAAAAAGAUUAACUCUUAGAUCCUUUUUAAACAGUGUUUGGUUUGCUUGGCCAUAAUCUGUUAUACUAAUCUACAAAAAAAGCUGAAAGAUAAGCAGAAACGAUCUCUUUUAAAACAGUGUGCAAAACCCAGGGUACAGAAACUAGUGGUAUAUGGGAAAUGCCUUGUCUUUCAUGGUCAGAAGUUUUAAAUGCACUUGUGUCGUUUGGCUCAAUUUCUUGAGCCCAUGCUGUUCUG